rnacentral:rRNA from 1 species
CGGUAAUUCCAGCUCCAAUAGCGUAUACUAAAGUUGUUGCAGUUAAAAAGCUCGUAGUUGGAUUUCUGCGGGGACGGAGCGGCCGGACGCAACUUGCGUCUCGAGCUAGCGCUUUCCCCGCAUCCUGCCGCGAACCGUGCUACCAUUAGCUUGGUGGCGCUGGGGAUCGGCUCGAUUACUUUGAGAAAAAUAGAGUGUUCAAAGCAGGCCACACGCCUUGAAUAAGUUAGCAUGGAAUAAUGACUAAGGACUUCGGUUCUAUUUUGUUGGUGUUCGGGACUGAAGUAAUGAUUGAUAGGGACAGUUGGGGCGGUCUGUAUUCCAAAGCGAGAGGUGAAAUUCUUAGACCUUCGGAAGACAAACAGCUGCGAAAGCGUUCCGCAAGGAUGUUCCCUUUGAUCGAGAACGAAAGUUGGGGGAUCGAAGACGAUCAGAUACCGUCGUAGUCUCAACUAUAAACUAUACCAGCUAGGGAUCGGUCAACGUUUAAUCAUUCGACUUGAUCGGCACCUUAUGAGAAAUCAAAGCAUCUGGGUUCCGGGGGGAGUAUGGUCGCAAGGCUGAAACUUAAAGGAAUUGACGGAAGGGCACCACCAGCCGUGGAGCCUGUGGCUUAAUUUGACUCAACACGGGAAAACUUACCAGGUCCAGACAUAGUAAGGAUUGACAGAUUGAUAGCUCUUUCUUGAUUCUGUGGGUGGUGGUGCAUGGCCGUUCUUAGUUGGUGGAGUGAUUUGUCUGGUUAAUUCCGUUAACGAACGAGACCCCAGCCUGCUAAAUAGCGCGGCUGAGCUUUGCUCGGUGCGAGCUUCUUAGAGGGACUAUGAUGCGCGAUAGCACAUGGAAGUUUGGGGCAAUAACAGGUCUGUGAUGCCCUUAGAUGUUCUGGGCCGCACACGGGCUACACUGGCGCCUGCAACGAGCAUAUCAGCUGGCCCGAGAGGGUCUUGGCUAAUCUUUUGAACCGGCGCCGUGCUUGGGAUUGACCAUUGCAAUUGUUGGUCAUGCAACGAGGAAUGCCUUGUAAACGCGAGUCAUCAGCUCGCAUUGAAUACGUCCCUGCUCCUUGUACACACCGCCC